rnacentral:lncRNA from 1 species
AUUUUUGUUUUACACUUUGUUGUACCAUUUUGAAAACAAUUCAUAUUACAUCUUAUUAAAUCCUUAUGUUUUCUCAUUUUUAAAAAUAGGUUAAUCUCACAAAUUAUAGAAAAAUAUUUUUCUUAGAUUGGAUCAUUAGAGAGUGAUUUUCCCCCUCUUUAGCUGCAAAAAGAAUAGUAUAAAUAACUACCUUAUCCUAAAUAACCUACUUUUUCAUUUAUUUUACUUAGCAAAAACUAUUUUCUUUUUCAAAUGUAAAAGAAUUAUGCCUUUUGUUUUCUUAAAAAAAUAGAAAUAAAUUUGAAAACAUAAGUGCCUUGGAUAAAAUAGGGAUUUAAAUUUCUCCUCUAAUAUUCUAAGUACUCUGAAAAUUAGGAGAUCAUCAUUCCCUUUCCUUGUACCUUCUCAACAAAUAAAAAGAGAAGAAGAUGUGAAGCUCUCCUCAUUUUCAUAAUGGCUACAAAAUGCUCCCCAAUAUUCCGAUUGACCAUGAUGCUCUUCUC